rnacentral:lncRNA from 1 species
UUAUACACCUUGAAGCAUAUUGGGAAAAUUGCCACAGCACUUUGCAAAUUCUCCCAUCAUGAGGUGGAGUGCAUUUCAGGCUGGCUUUGUGACUUGCUUUGGCCAAUAAUAUAAAUGACACUGGGUGAGUUAUAAGCCUAGUUCAAGAGGCAUUGCAGCUACAUCUCUUGCUCUUCUUGGAAUACUGAGACUACCAUCAUGUGCUCAAGCCCAGACUACCCUCCUAGAUGAUAAAAAACACAUGGCUCAGUUGAUACCCAUAACCACAGAGUUGAUAGCCAGCCUAUCUCCAAAGCAGAGCUUCCCAACUGACUCAAAACUAUACACAAAGUGAAUGAGCCCAGCCAAGAUCAGCAGUGGAACUGCCUGCCUGAAGAUAGCCCAAAUACAAACCUACAGAAUCAUGACCUCUGUAAAUGGGUGUGUUAAGCCACUGAGUUUUGGAUGGUUUGUACACAGCCAUAGAUAACCAGUAAAGAUAUUCAGAGGUAAUUAGAAGGUGUUUCAUCCUAUGCCCUGUCAAUAGAAACACAAGUAAAAUAACCAAACAAAGCUCAUUGGGAAAUGUGUAAUGAAAGUCAUAAUGCAGGAACAACAUUUUCAAGAGGAACUACAUUAAGCAAGUAUUUUCACAGCAGGUAGCUGUCCAAGGGAGAGAUUGCUGAAGCUUGGUGGCGGUGAUGGUUGUGCAUUGGCAGUGAAGGUCCAGAAGUUUCUCCAGUUCUUAAGAGAGAGGAAUCCCUGGCUCAAGAGAAUGGAGUCACUUGCCCAGGGUCAUCCAACUGAGCUGGUGCCCUUUGCACUCCCCAAGCUGCUUCUCUCUGGGUUUGGUAAAGGUUUUUUGUCUUUACGAGAAACAGAGAUGGAGCCUCACUGUUGUCAAGGCUGGUCUCAAACUCCUGGUCUCAAGCGAUCCUCCCACCUUGGCUUCCCAAGACACCAGUUCUUUUAUUUCAUCCUCCCCAAAUCUCUGAGCUCGGACUUCUAUUCUGGGGUGAAUUUGGGGUAAUCGUGACAAUGACAACAGACAAAAUUACUGAUGCUGGGAGCAGCAAGUUGGGUUUGGAGGUCAUUGCUAAGCUGUAAAAGAAGUGAUUUGACUAUAAACUUUGGCUGGGCCUCCCUGAACGGGAUCACAUACCACAAUGGAACCUCUGACAGGAAAGGUGGCUUCCCUCAUGCCCCAUCGUACUUUUUCAUCAUUCUUUAGAACCAUGGAGGAGUUCAAAUACCAGCUCAGACACUUCCUUGCUAGAUGACCUCAGUUCAGGAACUUGUUCAGUUUGAAAAGGGAAGAAGAAAGUCAGGGAUGGUUUCUUCUUGUGUCGUGGUGUCUCAAAUCUAAAAGGGCAGAGAAGAUGUGAACUGAGAGGGGCUCACCGAAAUCUGGAAAGGCCAUUGUCACAGUGGUGGUGGGAGGCACCUGAUUUCCUUGACACCUACUUUACACCACGUACUUUCUGUAUUGCCAUUGAACCUGUGACCACCUUGUUCAGCAGAAGGAGGAACGUGCCGUGACGAGAGAAGGCUGAAUGUUUGCUGCCUCUGGAGGAAGUGAGAGCUGCUCAAAGGUGGUGACCACGGCUUCAAGGCAACUCAUGAAUCUCUACUCAAACCCUCCAGUGGCUGCCUGUUUUACUUAGAGUAAAAGCCCAAGUCUUACAGGGGCCUAUGAAGUCUUUAUCUGUCAGAGUCCAACUGGGAAACACAAUCCAUACCAGGGGAAGUUUUCUCUGAUGCUCACACGAUGUGGGAACUUGUCACAUCUUCAAUCUCCGGGAACGUCCUCACCUGAAAUUGAAAGGUAGAACAAAGGCAGUCAAGGGUGCAAGGAUAUUAGAAGCUGUGUUCUGUGAGCUUUCAUGAAGGCUGUGGAAGGAUCCAGGCAGGAUGGCCUCAAAUUAAGAUUUUAAUGACUCUUUGGUUUAGAAAACACACUCUUGCUGUUAACGCUAUCUUAUCAGGUAUCAUUUUUGAAUUCACAGAUGAAAGUUAAAAAAUUCAUAAUUAUACAAAUACUUGCCUUGUAUGUUUGCCUGUGUGUGUCUGUUAAGGAACAAAUGCAUAGUGCCUACAGGAAGUAAGGGCAAAAUAAUUUCAAGGACUGGGAGUUUCCGGAAUUACCUAUGGCAAAGGAAAUUGUGUGCUGCAUUUUGACAAGGUUAAAAGUAUCUACACCCAAAUAGUGACUCAAGGAGAGUAUGGGCGCCACAAGACCUUGUGAGUUUCAAACGUACAUUUAAAUGUUAUUCUUUGGGGGUUAAAAUGUUUUAUUUACAAAUGAACAAAGGUUGAUUGAUCUUGAUAAACAGGACCCCAGGUGAUCAAAAUUUCUGGCAGUAACCAUCAUUUGGUCAGUGUUUGAUCUUCGGUAAUAGAAGUAAGUAAAGUUUUGAUGUUGAUGGUGAUGAUGUGGGGUGGUUUUAGACACAAACACAUUUUUUUCACUCCUCCUAUCACGUUGACAAAAAUAACACUAAGUAAAUGCCGUCAGCUUUCUAUGACAUGCAAUUUUUCAACCAAGCAAAAUACAAUGUACCUAGGACCUCAAAGAAAUGUAAUAAUCUCAGUAUUCUUGUGAUUUGUUAGACGUUUUCCACAAACACCUACAGAAACUAUAUAUGUUUGCCUGGAGAUUUAAGGUAACAGGCUUAUAUUCGCAACAAGAUGAAUUUUUUAUUAGAUGUUAGGCAGACACAUUGUGCUGAUGCUAGAAAGUGUUUCUGAGAGAGUAUAUGCAGAAUGUCUUCUAUGGACAUUGUCAAGACCUAUUUAAAUACCUACAUCUAUUUGUAAAACUUUCUGCAUAGAUCUGUAGGAGGAGGCUAGUGAAUGAACUUUAUGAACUGGGAAGAUUCUACUAACUUUGGAUAUUCCAAAAUAAUGCAGCCGUCCAUUUAAAGUACACUAAAAUGGCACCUUUAAGGAGCAGGGGUGGUGAUGACUGGCAACUAUCAUAGGUUUGGCAGCAACAUUUUUAGACCUACAAACACGGUUGUAAAGCUGUGUUAUCCCUGUAGGAAACUGUUCUUUUGAAUGUCCAUUUUUUUUUUCUCCAGAAAAGAAACGUAGGGACUUGUCUUUAAGAUAAAACUAUAAUAAGAACCUUUAAGUUCAACUAUAUGAGGUUUAGCCUGACUUAGAAGUUUAAUAUUUAGCUUGGUUAAUUAAAUCUCAUUCUUUGCCCUGAAUUUAAUUAUUCCAACUAAUGUGGUAACUUAAUAUAAUAAUAAAAAAGAGGUUAAUUAGAAAUAGAAGAGAAUCUGACUAUUUGUUCAUCUGGCUCAGUGGGGGCAUUUCAUGAAGUGUCAGUUUAUGGAUGGCAAUGUUUUAUAGAGUAUAAAUUUUCAGUUAGUGAGGAAAUGAAAAUGAAAGACAGUAGAUAAUCAGUGAGUGAUUGUAUCAGGAAAUCACUAAAAAGCUAAUCUGUAAAGUUCAGGGCAUAUUUUAAUGUGACUUCAUGAUAAUGUAGGCAGUAUUUUUCUCCCUAGGUUGAGCUUAAAUCAUGUUCUUUAGACACAUUAUGAGUAAUUCCUUGUUUUGAGUUUCUAUUCAAAGGUAAGAAAGCCAAAUAUUUCCUACUUUUAAACAGAAAUGAGUGCUAAAAUAAAAAGAUGACCUUUCUUGCUUAGCUGUCACUUUCAAUACAAAUGGUCUGCUUUCUUAAUAUUUCUUAAUGCUCAAGUUCUGCGACCUUAAUGCUGAGGUGCUGUGCAGUGGAAUCAGACUUGGAUUCAAAUCCCAGCUGGAAAUUUGCUUAUGGUGUCAAGUUACUAUUCUUAUUGAGUCUCAGUCUUGUCAUCUGUGAAAUGAGGAUAAGGUUGUCUACACUCCUCGGGUUGCUGAGGAUAAAGUGAGAGAAUAUAGAGGAUACCAUACAGCCUGCCCGUUACAUAAUAGGUGCUCUGCAAAUGGUGGCUCCCUGUCCUCUGAACAAGUCACAAGCCUUCUUAUAAAUGAAUAACAGGUGCUAAUGUAUCAUAACACCAAAGGUAAGGCCAAGUGUUCUGGCUUAUGAACCAGGGCAGUGCUCCUUAAACUUGAAAGUACCAGUGAUUCAUUCACCUGGGGAUCUGGUUAAAUGCAGAUUCUACAUUUCUAACAAGCUCCCAGAUGAUGCUGAUACUGCUGGUUGGGGACCACCACACUUUUAAUAGCAUGGAACCAGAACAGUGACUUCUGAAUAUCGAGCUGACUUUAAGAGACUGGGCUAAGCUGUAAAAUAAAAUUUUACUCUGCCUUUUCUUUUCCCUGGUU